rnacentral:rRNA from 1 species
UACGGGGGGGGUAAGCGUUGUUCGGAAUUACUGGGCGUAAAGGGCUCGUAGGCGGCCAACUAAGUCAGACGUGAAAUCCCUCGGCUUAACCGGGGAACUGCGUCUGAUACUGGAUGGCUUGAGUUUGGGAGAGGGAUGCGGAAUUCCAGGUGUAGCGGAUGAAAUGCGUAGAUAUCUGGAGGAACACCGGUGGCGAAGGCGGCGAUCCUGGACCAACACUGACGCUGAGUGAGCGGAAAGCCAGGGGAGCAAACGGG